AGAGUCCACAGGUCAUCUACAUGAUGCAGCAGCCAAUGAACCCACAGCUUGGCGGCCUCAGCUCGGAGGAGCUCCAGAUCGCAGCUAAAAUGAGCCAGCUGGGCAUGUACACUCUUAUGAAUAACGGUGGUGGAGGAGCAGUGCAGCCUUUGAAUCAU